CCUAUCACAGCCAUUAAACUCUGCCAGUUAGGUUAGUAUUGAGGAGUAACUAUAAUGUAGUUGAUCCAUCCUCAGUUUUCUCCUAUCACAGCCAUUAAACUCUGCCAGUUAGGUUAGUAUUGAGGAGUAACUAUAAUGUUGUUGAUCCAUC